GACGAACGCUGGCGGCGCGCCUAACACAUGCAAGUCGAACGGAGCUGAGAGGAGCUUGCUUUUUUCAGCUUAGUGGCGAACGGGUGAGUAACGCGUGAGUAACCUGCCCUGGAGUGGGGGACAACAGUUGGAAACGACUGCUAAUACCGCAUAAGCCCACGAUCCGGCAUCGGAUUGAGGGAAAAGGAUUUAUUCGCUUCAGGAUGGACUCGCGUCCAAUUAGCUAGUUGGUGAGGUAACGGCCCACCAAGGCGACGAUUGGUAGCCGGACUGAGAGGUUGAACGGCCACAUUGGGACUGAGACACGGCCCAGACUCCUACGGGAGGCAGCAGUGGGGGAUAUUGCACAAUGGGGGAAACCCUGAUGCAGCGACGCCGCGUGGAGGAAGAAGGUUUUCGGAUUGUAAACUCCUGUCGUUAGGGGCGAUAAUGACGGU
rnacentral:rRNA from 1 species